ACUCCUACGGGAGGCAGCAGUGGGGAAUAUUGCACAAUGGGGGAAACCCUGAUGCAGCCAUGCCGCGUGUGUGAAGAAGGCCUUCGGGUUGUAAAGCACUUUCAGUAGGGAGGAAGGUAGUGUAGUUAACACCUGCAUUAUUUGACGUUACCUACAGAAGAAGCACCGGCUAACUCCGUGCCAGCAGCCGCGGUAAUACGGAGGGUGCGAGCGUUAAAUCGGAAUUACUGGGCGUAAAGCGCAUGCAGGCGGCCUGUUAAGUCAGAUGUGAAAGCCCGGGGGCUUAACCUCGGAAUUGCAUUUGAAACUGGCAGGCUAGAGUCUUGUAGAGGGGGGUAGAAUUUCAGGUGUAGCGGUGAAAUGCGUAGAGAUCUGAAGGAAUACCAGUGGCGAAGGCGGCCCCCUGGACAAAGACUGACGCUCAGAUGCGAAAGCGUGGGGAGCAAACAGGAUUAGAUACCCUGGUAGGAUAGCG
rnacentral:rRNA from 1 species